AAAAAAAACAAACUCUGGUUUCCGUGUCCAACGUUUGACUGUCUGUCUUAUUUGAAAAAAUUAUGAAAAAAAUUAAAAAGAUAAGUCACGCAUAAAGUAUUAAUUAUGUUUUAUCAUCUAACAACAAUGAAAAUACUAAUUAUAAAAAAAUUUCAUAUAAAACGGACAGUCAAACAUUGGCACGGGAACCCACGGUUUAUCUUUUU
rnacentral:pre_miRNA from 1 species